AUCCACCCGCCUCGGCCUCCCAAAGUGCUCAGAUUACAGGCAUGAGCCACCGUGCCCAGCCCCAGAAUUUGUUUCCUAAUACCAUUCUCCAAUUUAAAAAAGUACCUGGAAGCAAUGACUGAUUUGAUAACUGGAGCAGGGAAUGUUCAAGAUGAGCCUGAAGCUUCUUGUAGUGCCAGAGAGUAGGACCAUAUUUUAGUCUUCCUACAAAAACCUGAUUAUCCUGAGCUUUCAACUUCAGCUCUAAAAGUGAUAGUUUGAGGCUUUACAAGUUACUCAGUCUACUGAUGUGGUAUAGCACUUGAGUAAGUCUUUCAAAAUCAUAUAAAUGAUUUGCUGACAUUUUCAGUAUCAGGAGGAGAUACCUUUUUAUUUCAGUCCAAAUGAAUGAAAGCUAAGCAUUCUCAGAGGACAAAUAAAAACCAUAAAGAAAGAAAUAAAGGGAAAUGUUAGAAGUCAAAGCUAUAGCAUUGGAAAUAAAAAUUUGCUACAUGGGCUCAAAAGAAAAUGGAGAUGAGAAAGGAAAGGAUCUUGAACAUAGAUUAAUAAAAAUUAACACAUCUGAAACACACAGCAGUAAAAAAUGAUGGAUAAAAUGAACAGAGGCUCAGGGAUCUGUGGAGC
rnacentral:lncRNA from 1 species